rnacentral:rRNA from 1 species
AGCGAACGCUGGCGGCAGGCCUAACACAUGCAAGUCGAACGAACCUUUCGGGGUUAGUGGCGGACGGGUGAGUAACACGUGGGAACGUGCCUUUAGGUUCGGAAUAACUCAGGGAAACUUGUGCUAAUACCGAAUGUGCCCUUCGGGGGAAAGAUUAAUCGCCUUUAGAGCGGCCCGCGUCUGAUUAGCUAGUUGGUUGAGGUAAUGGCUCACCAAGGCGACGAUCAGUAGCUGGUCUGAGAGGAUGAUCAGCCACAUUGGGGCUGAGACACGGCCCAAACUCCUACGGGAGGCAGCAGUGGGGAAUCUUGCGCAAUGGGCGAAAGCCUGACGCAGCCAUGCCGCGUGAAUUAUGAAGGUCUUAGGAUUGUAAAAUUCUUUCACCGGGGACGAUAAUGACGGUACCCGGAGAAGAAGCCCCGGCUAACUUCGUG